UCCAGGCUCGCCAGGCAGGGCUGGGGGUGGCGCUGGGAGGAGCCCAGACAGAUAGGCCCUGAGCUUUGAAGAAAAAUCAAUAUUCAGCAGGGAGUUGAUUGUGUCAUAAACGUCUCGAGUUGCACUGCCACUUCCUGGCCCCUGAGUGGCCCAAGGUGAGCUCUGCUGAGGAGAGAGCUGCCCUGCCUACCCCUCCCCUGCACUGCCUGUCUGAGGUCACAGAAGGAGCAGGAGAAAGGCAGCAGGCAUCUUAGGUGGUAAAGCCACUCAGUGAGCCACAGCAGCGAGGCGAGGAUGGUGGCUCCCUCUUUCUUUCGGAGGUGCAUACAUUCAACAAAUAACUACUCAAUGCCCACCAUGCCCAGUCCUGGGGCCAGGCUCUGGUGAUGCGGCCAGGAGCCCGGCAGACAGUGUGCUGCCUGCAUGGAGUCUACAGUCCUGUGUGGAGAUCAAUGUUGAACGGGGAAAUGAAACAGAAAACUGGCCAAGUAGAGGCUGAUAAGCGUCAUCCAGCAAAGCAAUGAACAGGCAGGUGGAGGCUCGGGAGGGCUGGGCAGGGCUGCUGCAGAUGGGCAGGGCUCUGGGCACUCGGCUGGGCAGGAGCCUGGGCAGUGGGGGGACUGGCUCCCAACACAGCCACUCCCCAACCACUCUUGGCUUCUCUGCUUCCUUCCUUCUCUCCCUGCCUCCUUCCCACACCUAUGCCCAGGUGCUCCUGUAGCUCUGGCUUGCGUAGGGACACUGCCAAGUGGCCCAUCCCCUUCAUUUCGUAGUCCAGAUGCUCUGACAGUGACCCCAGGUGACCGCCCAUGCAUCGCCUGUCCUGGUGGGGGCCAUCCUGUGCCAUCAUUGGGGGGGGGGUGCAGUGUGCAUGACACGGCACAGCAUGGCUCAUAGCUGCCCAGCACCAGGGGCUGAGGGGGUGAUGGGCAUAGCAGUGAGCAUUCCAUCUGGGAUUGAGUCCUGCUUGCCUCUGUCAGGGGAUGUCCUUAGGCAAGUCCCUUAACAUGCAUGUGCCUCAGUUUUGUCACCUGUAGCCCAGUGCCUCAUGGUGCCAAGGAGGUCACAAGCAUGAAGCCCCUGGCAGGGUGUGCCGGGCACGUGUGCACAUGCCCCCUGGAGGGGAUUCAUCAUCGCGGGCGGAGCUCUGCAGUUCCAGCCUCCUGAGGGUCCUGAUGCCUCACGAGGCCAAGAGGCAAAGGGUUUUGUAACUUACAUAACCGCAGAGAAAGGCAAGGUUGCUGCUCACAAUGAUGCUUUCACAGGGCGGCUCUGGGACGGCAUCCUCACCCGACUAUAUGGAAUUCCACAUCCUUUCCGAAUCUUGGUGUUACACAAUAGUCACUGAGAUAUCAUGUACCCCAUUAACGUUGAGACUUUUAUGUAUUUACAAUUCAGCUUAAAUUUUUACCCAGAGAAGUUUUCAAAAUGUAACAUGUGUUAGUCACUGUGUGAAUUGCGAAACCAAGGAAAUAUCUCCAAAGUGCUGGCCUUGACAAUGUAAUCUGGCAAGGCUUGGGGAGGAAUAAAAAUAACACUUCUCAGCAUCGCCGUCUCUGAGGGCAGGAGUGAUCUGGAGCCCUCCCCAAGCCCACAGAAGACAUGGCUGUGGAGUGUCGGUGCACCAGGGUCUGCCGGGUCCCCGCCUCCCCAUCCUUCCAAGAGGCACCAGCUGCAAGGCACGUGCAUGUGCCCUCCUGACCCCCCGGUCCCCAAAGAGCCUGCUCCCGUCACUCCAGGCAGGCACUGUUGCUGGGAUUUCAAGGCAGCUGAGUGCAGAGCCCACUGCAGAGGCAUCAGCCCCUCCCAGGCCUCUAGGAAACCUGCUCCUCCCCUCCCUCCACAGGCAUCUGCUUACAGCGCCAGCGGUGCCUCGUGCUCCACCUGGAGCACCACUGUCUGUCAGGGACACGGGCUCCCAGAGGGCUGCACGUGAAUGAUUUCCGACCCUCACAACAGCCAGGAAGUAGGGACUGGGAUUGUUCCCAUUCUGUAGAUGAGAAGACUGAGGCUUGGGAUAACGUGCUUGCCCAAGUUGGCAUGGGCAGUACAAGACAAAGCUGGGGUUGCAAAUGAUCACGCUUCCUAUUCUGAAUAUUUCUUUUUCUGCCACCUUCUCCUCUGAGUGCUGGCUUUCCCUACUUACCAAGCCCCCAGCUGCUCACUGCGGUGCCAGAGCACCCAAGAGCCUCCUCUGGCAGUGCCAUGGCCCACAGCACACUCCCCUUGGCUCUAUCAGGCCUCCCUUUUGGCUUGAGUGCCACCCACUCACUCCUCUCCUGCUUUCUGGCAUCGUUAUUUAAUUGUCCAACCCUGGUCUGCUCAGUUAGACCGUAAACUCUGAGAGGACGAGGAGUCUUCGCCGGCUGCCCCCCGGGCCUGGCCUGGGGCUGCCACGUAGCUGAAUCUCAGCCACACUUGCUGUAGAAUGAUUUGUUAUUAUUCUCUGAGGCUGGGUUUCCACGUGGCUGGGCACAGGAGGACAGAGUCCCCCUCCCCGUCCAGGUCCUUGGCUGGCCAGCAUUUCAAAUGAUAUUGUUUCAUAUUAAAUUAUUUUAAAUUCCAUGGACCCUGGUUUCACAAUCAAAUAAUUCGAUCUUGUUUACAAAUGGAAUUUUUAGUUUUUGACGGUUUCUUGCUUUGCUGGGCUGGACGGUCAGUGAAUGCGUGUCCUCCCGUGCCCUCCAGUCCAUCUCUGUUGCCUUCCCCGGGAUGCCGUGGAGGCCGGGAACCGUCCCCAGGAGUGGGGACGUGGUCAGGAGGGUGGGGUCAGGCAGCCCUGUGCAGGCAGACAGCUCACAGUGCUCGGGGCCUGGAGGCGGGGGCGUUCUCUGCUUGCCCUCUUCCAGCUCUAGACAUGAGAAAACCCACAAAGAACAGAAUUGGAAGGGAUCUUUGACACACGUGAUUCCAACAUCCCCUUUUACAGUUAGGAAACUGAGGCACAAGAUCCUGGUUCUUGGGGUUGGGCCUUGGACCCAGCACUGGGUCUUUGCACAGCCUCCUCAGGACUGAUCCACACUUUGUUCUCUUCCCCACCAACCCCAUCACUUCCCGUUAGGUGCCACUUACUGCUUUCACCUACCGAGACAGAGAGAGGGAAAAGUGUGACCUCUGACCUCUAGGAGCUAGGAACCCAGUGUUGGGAGGGGAGCUGCGGAGGAGGAGACAAAGGAGGCACAAUGAGGUGGACCCUACGGGGUUGGGAGGAGCUUGGAAGGCAGUUCAGAAAGGACACGUAGGAGAAGGCAGGGUGGGACUGUGGGACAGCAGGCCGGGCGCAUCCAGCGGCGUUUGCAAAGCCGGAGAAGUGGCCAAGCUCAGUGGCUGUGGCCAGAUGCCAUUUGUGGCAGUUGAUGAGAAUCUUGUGACUAUUUUAACCGAUGUGUUAAACUUCACUCUCCCCCUGUCAGUCUCCUUGUCACCUUGGAGAAUGUUAUUAGUCAAGGUUCUCCAGAGAAACAGAACCAACAGAAUGUACACACAUGCACACACAUACACAUGCACACACACACACAUACACACGCACACACACACACACACAAACAGGGAUUUAUUGUAAAGAACUGGCUCCUGGAAUAACUGAAUUGAUAAGUCCCAAGAUUUUCAGUCAGCAAGCUGGAGACCCAGAAGAGGCUACUAGGGACUAGACAUGUCCCCCCAAAAUUCAUAUGGUGGACCCCAACCUCCAAUGUGAUGGUCUUAGGAGGUGGGGUGUUUUGAAGGUGAUUAGGUCAGGAGGGUGGAGCGCUAAUGAACGAAAUUAGUGCCCUUAUAAGAAGAGACAGGGCAGCUCUCUCUCUCUGAUCUCUGUCACAUUAGGACGUAGAGAGAGGAAGGCCAGCAGUAAGUGGGCCCUCACCAAAAUCAAAUUGGCAGCACCGUGGUGCUGGACUUCCAGCCUCCUGAAUGGUGGGAAAUGAAUAUUUGAUGCUUAAGCCACACAGUCUACAGCAGCCCGAGCUUAGACAGAGCGGACGUUUCAGUUCAAGUCCAAAGGCAGGAAAAAGCUAGACAUUCAGCUCAAAGGCUGGCAGGCAAGAGGAAUUCUAUCUUACUCAGGGGACGGGACCCCCUUUGUCCUAUUCAGGCUGUCAACUGAUUGGAUGAGGCCCACCCAUAUUAGGGAGGGGAAACUGCUUUACCUGGCCCACUGAUUCCAAUGUGAGUCUCAUCCCCAAGCCCCUCACAGAAACACCCAGAGUGAUGUCUGGUCAAAUAUCUGGGCGCUGUGGCCCCGCCAAGUUGACACUGAAAUUAACCCUCGCAGAGGCCGCCUCUUUAUCACGGGACACAUGCUUGGAGCCCCUCUUCUGGAACUUUCUCUAAGCGAGUGACAGUAUGGGGCAGAUGGGUGUCAUUGCUCUGUGGUCACUUGAUGGGUGACCUGGGUUGGCCCUGUGUACCUACCCACUGGGCUUGGCUCAGAAUGGCAUCCUGCUGUUUCCACAAGUCAGCUGGCUCUCCAGGGUCAGGAUGGAACCUGCUGAGGAGAUCACAGAUGGCCCUGACUCCACACGCUGCCCCAGAGGGCCCCAAGGCAGGCAUCUGAGCCAGCCCCGGCUGCAGAGGUUGACUCAGGAAAGCACCAGGGAAAGUUGGUUGUUAAUAUCCCAGUCCAAUUUUUUUUGACUGGGCCUAAAGGCAGGGACUUCCUUCUAUAAAAUCUGGGAGCUGAGUGCAGGGCAGGCCUGACAAGGCGUGAGGAGCUGCCUGUGGACUUCGGCUCUCCCAGUGAGUCCAGGAGCUGCCCUGGGCCCUGGCGGCCCCUCCUCAUCCCCACCUCUCUGCUGCACCACUAUGGCCUCAAGGUCCCUGCACUGCCUCAUAAAGCUGUCCCCAAGUCAGGCUCCUGUGAGCGCGCCGGGCAUCAGAACUCUGGCUGGUGGACCCACAGAGGCCCGGGGUAAUAGCCAUGAGAAGAACAGGCCACCACGCUCAGACUGGGAAGCACCCAGCCUGCGGGAUGGCCAGAGACACUCAUCCAGGGCCAUGAGAGUGUGAAUCAGUCGAGUACAAUAUGCAUAACCAGUGUGGCCAGAACCGGUGCUUUGAGGUGUCUAACUCCUGGUGUCCUACCAUCCCAACACUGUUGAUUAAUGGCGAAAGAUGGGGCAUUGGGGAGGUCUGUGUCUAUGCUUGGUGGCACCUAAGAAAGAGCAAGGCAUUUAUCUGCAUGGAUUGAGAUAGACAGGUCUCUAAAAUAAACAAGGCAAAGAACGCAAGAGGCUGAACCAAAGUAUGAUCCAUUUGGGGCUUAACAAAUAGAUAGUAUAGGCAGCGCGGUGGCUCACGCCUGUAAUCCCAGCACCUUGGGAGGCUGAGGUGGGCAGAUCACCUGAGGUUGGGAGUUCCAGACCAGCCUGAGCAAUAUGGUGAAACCCUGUCUUUACUAAAAAUACAAAAAUUAGCUGGGCAUGGUGGUGCACGCCUGUAAUCCCAGCUACUCAGGAGGCUGAGGCGGGAGAAUCGCUUGAACCCGGGAGGUGGAGGUUGCAGUGAGCUGAGAUCAUGCCACUGCACUCCAGCCUGGGUGACAGAGGGAGACCCUGUCUCAAAAAAAAAAAAAAAAAAUAGAUGGGGUAGAUGCUUUUGGAAGAAUAUGCAGUCACUGCUCACACCAGCAUGGAACAAGUGGACUGGGGUUACUGCCUGGCGAGUCUCUUUCAGGUCCCUGAAUGCAGUUAACUCAGCGAGUCCUGAGUUCCCCAGGAGGUGGGCAUUCCCAUCUUACCCACGUUGCAGAUGAAGACACUGAGGUAUUGGGAGAACCUGCCCAGGUGAUACAGGUAGUAUGUGGCGGUUGGGGGAUGUGAACUUGAGCUCCUGACCAACUCUGCUGCAUGGGCUGACAACUCCGGCUUCUCCGGGAGAGGGGCAGGGGCUGAGGUGGGGCUUUUUUGUUUUUGUUUUUGGCCUUUCUGAGUCCUCUGUGCUUUCUUCCCAGGUGCAUAGAUGACUUACUUUCAGAAAAUGUCAACAGGGUGCUCUGCAGAGGGGCAUGGGCUUUUAUGCCUUUAUUAUGCUUUUCUGUAUUAAAAGAAAAAUACAGUCAUGUGAUUUUAGAAACUCAACCCAUGGAAGAGAGAAUACUGGGUCUGUAGGAAAUCUGCAAAGUGGGAAAGAUACUUCUGGGCUUGGUGGUGGCACCUUGGAGCCUGCUUACGGAAAUCACCUCUCGUUCCCGUGAUGCUGAAAGCAGAAUGCUGGACAUGGAAGAACCGCGGUACUCGAGCUUCGUCUGCUGCCCCACACCCCACUGGCUGUUGCAAGAGUGACGUUGCCAUUGGUGACUGCAGGUCUCCCAGCAGCCUGGUGCAGAGAGGCCACUUCAGGCUCGAACAGAGGCCCGGGUUUCCACGGGAGACAGCAGAGCCACGGUGUAGCAGGCAUCCAGCUCUCCCCCGAUCAGUUCCGUGACUUGUCGGAAGGCCCUCCCUCCCGGUCAGACGAAGAAAGGACUGGUGGCCUCUGGGGAUCCUGAGCCUGUCUCCAUGGGAACCAGCUCACCCACCCCCUCUCUGGCAAGUGUCCUAGUGGGAGCCAUGGGAAACCAUGGGCUCCAGCCCCUGGCCGCUGACUGGUUGGCGGCCUUCCGUUUUGAGAUCCCUGGCCCAGGGUAAUGGAGGGGACCUCAUCUUACAGAAGACACAGCGAGGGUGUGGAGAGGCUGUGGGGGAAGCACAGCCUGGCCGGCAGCUGCUGGGUGUCCUGGCUUGAGCUCAGGGCACCUUUGUCCCAGGGUGGGACCCUCAGGUCUCAGGGGCUGCUCCAUCCCCGUUGAGGGCUCCCUUCAUUCUUGAUGUCUGUCCACUCACAGAGGGGGCGUCAUGCCUCUCCAAAGACCCCCACAUUCCAGUCCUUGUGUCCCUGAGGUCGGCCUCCUGGCGGCCACCUCACAGGGAAGGCCCUGGACACAGGGCCCUGGCCUAAUGCAGCAUGGCUUCAUCUUAACUAGUUACGUGUGCAAAGACCCUGUCUCCAAACAAGGUCAUAUUUUGGGCUUCUGAGUGGAAGUUGGUUUGGGGGACACUCAUCAACCCAGCACAAUGCUCCCCCUCACCAUGUUCGUUGAAGAGAAGACUCUUGGACACCUGGAGGCCACCAGUCCUUUCUGGAUCCCCAGAGGCCACCAGUACUUUCUUCCUCUGACCUGAAACAAGAGCUAGCAGGGGCUGGCAGGCCGACUGCGUCUGCUGCCAUUUUGAGUACUGGCCCCAGCCGCAAUGCCCAGGACUGAGUCAUGGAGAUUCCCUCAGAAAUGGUGCAACCCAGUCUGUCCACAGAGUGAGGGGCGACAAGCCUGGUGGCCCCGGCUUCAGUGCAGGCCAUCCUUUCCACCUAUUGUCUCCUUUUGGUCUCAUGGGGACCCGGUUCUUGUCCUCUGCCCUGUAGCAUGGCUACGACCCUCAUGGGCCACAAACUUGAUGCCCUCAGGCGGCUAGACUCUACCCCAGAUCCGGGGCUGGCAGCGGCAUGGAUGUGGUCAACUGGCAUGCAGUUGUUACCCAGACACCCUCCCAUCAGCACUUUUUUAGGGGGUGAGUGACAGAAACUCAACUUGGGCUUAAAGGUGAAUUUACUGGUUCCUGUGAUGACAGAGUUCAAGGUUCAGCUGGACCUGGUGCCUCCAAUGACGUCACCAAGUCUGUCUGUCCAUCUGUCUGAGUUCAGCUUCCUCCAGGUCUUCGUUCUCCAGCAGGCCUUCUCCUCAAAGUGGCCAGGUGACUGUCAGCUCUAUGGUUCAUUCUACCAGUUUAUGAAUCUCCCCUCCUCAUGUUGCUCAAAUUCAGCUGUGAGUAAACUCCCAAGCUGAUUGCAGCGUCCAAAGGGAGGGCACUGGUCCCAUGUGCAGCCGGCAACUCUAUGGGUUCAGCUCCACCCAAACUAUAUAGACCACAGCAGGGAAGGAAAGCCAGGGAUGCUAGGAUGGCCAGCACCACUGCAGAAGCCUAUUGAUCCCGUGCAAAAUAGCUCCAGUAAAAGGAGGGCUUUGGGGCCCGGUGUGUUGGCACACACCUGUAAUCCCAGCACUUUGGGAGGCCAAGGCAUGUGGAUCACUUGAGGUCAAAAGUUCUUGACCAGCCUGAUUAACAUGGUGAAACUCCGUCUCUAUUAAAUACAAAAAAAUUAGCCAGGAGUGGUGGUGCAUGACUGUUAUCUGAGCUACUUGGGAGGCUGAGACAGGGGAAUUGCUUGUACCCGGAGGCGGAGGUUGCAGUGAGCUGAGAUCACACCAUUGUACUCCAGCAUGGGCAACAAGAGCAAAACUCUGUCUCAAAAAAAAAAAAAAAAAGGAGAGCUUUGGUCUACAGAAAGUCAGGCACCAUCACAGCAUCAUAGGGACAGGGAUACAGGAUGCAGGUCCCCGUUACAUCCAGGGCUCCAUCCCUCUUCUCUCCAUCCUCCCCAUAGGCUUUUCCUACAGGCCUUUGGUUUUCCCCGGAUGUUGGCUUGCCCCUAUACCAGCACUGCCAUGGAUGUUGGCUUGCCCCUAUACCAGCACUGCCACGGAUGUUGGCUUGCCCCUAUACCAGCACUGCUCUGGAUGUAGGCUUGUCCCUACAAGAUCACUGGCCCGACUUGUCACUCCAGGGACAAUGUGUCCACCCUUGGCCUAGCUAGUCAGAAACUUUUGUCUUCGUGUCAUCGUGUCCAAUCAAGAUGUCCAAGAUCCUUCUCUCUUUAGAGAGCAUGGGGAGGAGGGGCAUUGUGCUGGGUUGAUGACUGUCCCCCAAAUCCACUUCCACUCAGAAGCUCAAAAUAUGACCUUAUUUGGAGACAGGGUCUUUGCAGAUGUAAUUAGUUAAGAUGAAGUCACGCUGCAUUAGGGUGGGCCCUAGACCCAAGGCCUAGACCCAAGGACUGGCGAUCUUAUAAAAAGAGGAGUGGACACAGAGACAGAUGCAGAGGGAGGGCAGCCACGGAAAGACAAAGGCAGAGAGUGGAUGAUGCAGCCGCAAGCCAUCGGAUGUCCAGGGCCACCAGGAGCUGAGGAGGUGAGGAAGGGCACCCCCAGGAACCUUCAGAGGGAGCACGACACUGUCGACACCUUGACUUUAGACUUCUGGGCUCCAGAUCAGCAAGGGAGUAGAUUUCUGCUCCUUUAAGCAUUUUAUGGGUCUCUGCUGCAGGAGCUCAAGGAAACUCAUUCAGGUAUUUAGGACGGUUGUGCUGGGUGGAGACGGACCACACACCGUCUCUGGGCUGAAGGGGCGGGCACCAGGAGCAGGUCCUCAGUCGACCGCAUCUUGGCACUUAGCUUUGGUGACUCCCCCUGGUGCUGCUGAUGUCCUACCGUGGCCUCUAGGGGACUCAGGGUCCUGCACCCCACCCCUGCUCCCUUCCUGCCCUGGCCUCGUCUCACCUCUGCAGUAGCAAGACUUUCUGCAGCCUGAAUCUAGAUUCUCUGCCGCCUCUUGGUUCUUCUCCUUCAAUGUGGGCUCACCAAGGGCCAUGAGGGUCCCCAGGACUGCAAGGGCACACAGAAAACCCACAGAUUCAUACACUGAGAUAUCGCUCUCCUCGUCGACAGGACCUCAAGCCUCCAGGCCCAGCUCAGUCUAAUUCAAUCUCUGUGUCUUUGCUCAAACUCUUGCAAGGAAAUCUGACCACCUUGGCCUGGCUGGGGGCAUCCAGCGCUAUCCCUGGGGUGUGGCCUGAAACCCUUCCUUCCUCGGUAGGACUCAGUCAACCAGGGUUAAGAAAAGGGCACAUUCCUUGGAGAAGCAUGAGGAGAUAAUGCUUCUGAGGACGCUCAUGUAUGUGAACGCUCAAUGCAGACAUAUGGAAAUUAUGUCGUCUACAUUUACCCCCAUCCCUCUAGGGUGGGUGUCAUCAGAUUCCCGUCCCAGUUUGCAGCUGGAGCCUCGGGGCUUGGAUUAAGUGCUUGCCAGUGCUGGUAGAGAAGCCUGUCACCUCCCACCACUCUCAGCACUUGUCCACUUGCCAAGGUCUCAUGGCAAGUAAGUCCUGGCCACCUUGGUCGCCUCUUAGACGAAGUGGCUUGGACUAGAUGCCCUCCUCCGAGGUGAAUCUUGAGCUGAAGCUUCGGUGUGUGCCUGGAGCAUGUGGCUGGGGUGUUCAGCAAACCCUGGGCAGGGAGGACAGGCCAGCCAGACCUCGGGCCCCCAACUGGGCAUCUGCCUCCAUAGGGCAUUCAUCCACUUUGGGGGUCUUUGUGUCCCUAAAAGAGUCUGAAUAUGAAUCCACACUCAAGCAAAACCAUUAAGGAGAUCAAAGCAGCCGCAAUGACACUGGAGGAGGCUCAUGCUCCUGGGAAACCUCAGAGUAAGACGCAUGGGGGAGGUGCUGGCUUAAGGGUCAUGACUGAGGUGAGAGGCUGAGGGCAAUGGACAGAAAGCAGCAUGCAACCAAGUUCAGGUGGCAGGGAAAACAGAGAGCAAGGAGGAAGCAAAACUGUGAGCAAAACAGGCCUUGAGGGGCCAAACAGUCAGCCACAGAUGCCAGGCUCCUGCCCGACCUGCCCCGACCCUGCCUCUCAGAGGGCACCUGCCAUCCUCUGUGCACCCCACCUGUCCUGUCCCAUCUGUGCAGGGCCCCGUCUAUCGCCCCUGAAGGGUCAGGUGCUCCUCACUGGAAGGUAGGAACUGGGCUUCACCAUCUGGACUGUGCAAGGCCUGCCUGGUCAUGAGAGCAAAGAGUUUUCUAGAAGGCUGGCUUGCACACAUAAGUGAAGAACUGCCCCCCAGAAGUAAUGCUUAGGCAAAGAAGGUGGGCAGUGGUGGUGGUCACAGAUGCUGGGGGUGAGCCAUAGGCCUGAGCCAUCCAUUGUGGGGGUCUGAAAGCCCAAGUCUGUGGCUCCCACACACAGAGAUAGACAGUUCCUAGAGAACACCAGAGUCUAGGCCCCAGGGGCUGGGCGUGCCUCAGAGGGCGCCCCAUGCCAGCUUAAAGGCAGCUGGGAAUGCAGCAAUUGAUCAGUGGGUGCUGGGCAGCUCACACCCCCGUGCGGACAGUCUUCUCCAUGGGCCGAGAAGUGUGUCACAUGCAUGCAGGUGCAUAUGCAUGGGGACAUGGGGGCCCAGGAGUCUUCCUACUGCAGAGUUCAAAGAUGCGGGCUGAAGGCAGUUUGGAGAGCGUCCCCUGCCUGUGCUUCUCUUUUAACUCCAGGACCUGAGCCUCUGCUGGGUGGCGGGUGGACGCUGCUCCCAGUCUCCCAUGCAAGGGGCCCCAGAGGGAGGAAAAUGGCAGGAUGGGACAGAGGGACCACGUGAGAGCAGCUUUGGGAUAAAGCUGCCAGAUACACAAAGCAAUAAACAAAAGGGAAAAAGGAAACGGGACUCAACACAAUUCACAAGUCACAAGGUGGUUGGCUCCAAGGAGCAGGUCCCUGGCUCAGCGGGUCCACUGGGGCUCUCUGGGCAGAGGGGCCUGGUGUUUGAGGUCCCCUCCAGAACCUUCACGCUGAGUGGCAAUGACAUUCCAUAGCCUUGAGGGGCAGGGGCGCAAGGCUCAGCACCCUGGGGCUCUGGGGUGGAGGAGGAGGAUGAUCCGGACUGGGGAGGCAGAAAUGGCCCUCCGUUCUUUUCUGUUUCUUCUCACGCCUCCAGCCCCUUGCUGCAGCCACACUGGCCUCAGUUACACUGGCUCCUUCCUGCUCCUCAUCUGUACAGGGCCAGGUCCUGAAUUAGGGGGGCCUUUGUACAUACAGGCACCAGAACAUUCUUCCAGAGCUUCACUGGAGCCUUCCUCUUCAGCAUGACCGUCCCUGGCCACCUGAUCCAGAGCUGGCGGCUCCCAGGCAUAGCCCAUCCCUGCUGCGGCUCUGCACUGCCCCAGUCCUCACCUGCAUGCAGGGGACUAUUCACAUGCUGACCGUCUGUCCAUCUCCCGUAAGAACGUCGGCUCCUUCCACGUCUGCUGGGCGUGGAGGAUCCCUCACAGCCUCCCCGACCUCAGAGCCAUGAGAGACUUGCAAAGCUUGAAACAAACUCUGAAAGGACUCUUCACAGAUAAAUUCCUCCAGGUGCAUGUUUCAAACAAUUUUAUUAUCUAACCCAAGAGUAAGUUAGCAAUCGAUUUCCUAAUCUUUAUUGAUUGGCAGUGGGCAGGCUAGUGUGAUUAAAGAUGUGAGAGAGACUUGCCAAAUAAAAUGCAUGAGCAGCCUUCAUGAGCUUAGCUCCAAUGUGCAGAGUGAUAGGGUCAGGGAAGUGUGUGUAUGUGUGCAUGAUUGUGUGAGAUCAGGGUAGUGUGUGUGUGUGUGUGUGUGUGUGACAUCAGGGCAGUGGGUGUGUGAGAGAGAUCAGGGCAGUGUGUAUGUGUAUGUGUGAGAUCAGGGCAGUGUGCGUGUGUGUGUGUGUGUGACAUCAGGGCAGUGUGUCUGUGUGCAUGAGUGUGUGAGAUCAGGGCAGUGUGUGUGCAUGAGUGUGAUAUCAGGGCAGUAUGUGUGUGUCUGUGUGUGUGUGUAUGAUAUCAGGGCAGUGUGUGUGUGUCUGUGUGUGAGGUUAGGGCAGUGUGUGUUUGUGUGCAUGAGUGUGUGAGAUCAGGACAGUAUGUGAGAGAGAGAGAUCAGGGCAAAGGGCAGUGUUUGUGUGAGAUUAGGGCAGAGUGUGUGUGUGUGUGUAUGAGAUCAGGGCAGUGUGUGUGUGUGUGCAUGAGUGUGUGAGAUCAGGGUAGUGUGUGUGUGUGACAUCAGGGCAGUGUUUGUGUGUUUGUGUGAGAUCAGGGCAGUGUGUGUGUGUGCACGAGUGUGUGAGAUCACGGAAGUGUGUGUGUCAGGUCACCACAGUGUAUGUGCGGGUAUGCGUGUGUGUGUGCACAGGGAACACACGGACAGCCAUUCCAAGUACACACUCUCCUUGGGUAAAUCUGUGAGUAAUCAUUGCUCCAGCAGUGAGAGCCCGUGAGGGUGGUGCAGGAAGACUGUGGCCUGCCUCCUGAGGGAAGCAUUAAAAAAACAGUCAAAGGAAAACGAACUCAGCUCUCCCAGGGUGGAGGACGUGGAGGUGGGCAGCCAGGGAACAAAUCUGGUUGCUGCGAGCCUGUCAGAAAGGGCCCUAGUGCCCUGCCAGGAGGAAGGACUCUGGGCCAUGAGCAUGAUGGUCUUUGAAGGCCAGGAGAGCUAGCCUACCCCAGCUCUGCCACUAACUGUGCGACUCACGGUCACAUGAUGAUACCUCCUGGGCCCCAUAUACUUUAUCUGCAAAUGGGAAGAAGCACAGCCUCUGUGUCCACAGUGCUGUUGAGGUUGGAUCGGGGCUAACUGGCAAUCAGACAUGUGUCUAUAAAUGCCGGCGAGCCAGGCAGAGCCCAGGCCUGAGAGUCCACCAGGGUGGCAGGCCUUAAUCCGCGCUGCACAGAUCUGU
rnacentral:lncRNA from 1 species